rnacentral:rRNA from 1 species
UACGAAGGGGGCUAGCGUUGUUCGGAAUUACUGGGCGUAAAGCGUGCGCAGGCGGCUUCUCAAGUCAGGGGUGAAAGCCCAGAGCUCAACUCUGGAAUUGCCUUUGAGACUGAGUGGCUUGAGUACGAGAGAGGUGAGUGGAAUUCCCAGUGUAGAGGUGAAAUUCGUAGAUAUUGGGAAGAACACCGGUGGCGAAGGCGGCUCACUGGCUCGUAACUGACACUGAGGCGCGAAAGCGUGGGGAGCAAACAGG